rnacentral:rRNA from 1 species
UGGCGAACGGGUGAGUAACGCGUGAGGAACCUGCCUCAAAGAGGGGGACAACAGUUGGAAACGACUGCUAAUACCGCAUAAGCCCACGGCUCGGCAUCGAGCAGAGGGAAAAGGAACAAUCCGCUUUGAGAUGGCCUCGCGUCCGAUUAGCUAGUUGGUGAGGUAACGGCCCACCAAGGCGACGAUCGGUAGCCGGACUGAGAGGUUGAACGGCCACAUUGGGACUGAGACACGGCCCAA